rnacentral:rRNA from 1 species
ACGAACGCUGGCGGCACGCUUAACACAUGCAAGUCGAACGAGAGAAGAGAAGCUUGCUUUUCUGAUCUAGUGGCGGACGGGUGAGUAACACGUGAGCAAUCUGCCUUUCAGAGGGGGAUACCGAUUGGAAACGAUCGUUAAUACCGCAUAAUAUAAUUGAACCGCAUGAUUUGAUUAUCAAAGAUUUAUCGCUGAAAGAUGAGCUCGCGUCUGAUUAGCUAGUUGGUAAGGUAACGGCUUACCAAGGCGACGAUCAGUAGCCGGACUGAGAGGUUGAUCGGCCACAUUGGGACUGAGACACGGCCCAGACUCCUACGGGAGGCAGCAGUGGGGAAUAUUGCACAAUGGAGGAAACUCUGAUGCAGCGAUGCCGCGUGAGGGAAGAAGGUUUUAGGAUUGUAAACCUCUGUCUUCAGGGACGAAAAAUGACGGUACCUGAGGAGGAGCUCCGGCUAACUACGUGCCAGCAGCCGCGGUAAUACGUAGGGAGCGAGCGUUGUCCGGAAUUACUGGGUGUAAAGGGAGCGUAGGCGGGAUCGCAAGUCAGAUGUGAAAACUAUGGGCUUAACCCAUAAACUGCAUUUGAAACUGUGGUUCUUGAGUGAAGUAGAGGUAAGCGGAAUUCCUAGUGUAGCGGUGAAAUGCGUAGAUAUUAGGAGGAACAUCAGUGGCGAAGGCGGCUUACUGGGCUUUAACUGACGCUGAGGCUCGAAAGCGUGGGGAGCAAACAGGAUUAGAUACCCUGGUAGUCCACGCCGUAAACGAUGAUUACUAGGUGUGGGGGGACUGACCCCUUCCGUGCCGCAGCAAACGCAAUAAGUAAUCCACCUGGGGAGUACGACCGCAAGGUUGAAACUCAAAGGAAUUGACGGGGGCCCGCACAAGCAGUGGAGUAUGUGGAUUAAUUCGAAGCAACGCGAAGAACCUUACCAGGUCUUGACAUCGUAUGCAUAGCUCAGAGAUGAGUGAAAUCUCUUCGGAGACAUAUAGACAGGUGGUGCAUGGUUGUCGUCAGCUCGUGUCGUGAGAUGUUGGGUUAAGUCCCGCAACGAGCGCAACCCUUACUGUUAGUUGCUACGCAAGAGCACUCUAGCAGGACUGCCGUUGACAAAACGGAGGAAGGUGGGGAUGACGUCAAAUCAUCAUGCCCCUUAUGACCUGGGCCUCACACGUACUACAAUGGCUGUCAACAGAGGGAAGCAAAGCCGCGAGGUGGAGCAAACCCCUAAAAGCAGUCUUAGUUCGGAUUGUAGGCUGCAACCCGCCUACAUGAAGUCGGAAUUGCUAGUAAUCGCAGAUCAGCAUGCUGCGGUGAAUACGUUCCCGGGCCUUGUACACACCGCCCGUCACGCCAUGGGAGUCGGUAACACCCGAAGCCUGUAGUCUAACCGCAAGGAGGACGCAGUCGAAGGUGGGAUUGAUGACUGGGGUG